rnacentral:rRNA from 1 species
AUUGAACGCUGGCGGCAUGCUUUACACAUGCAAGUCGAACGGCAGCGCGGGCUUCGGCCUGGCGGCGAGUGGCGAACGGGUGAGUAAUGCAUCGGAACGUGCCCAGUAGUGGGGGAUAGCCCGGCGAAAGCCGGAUUAAUACCGCAUACGACCUGAGGGUGAAAGCGGGGGACCGAAAGGCCUCGCGCUAUUGGAGCGGCCGAUGUCGGAUUAGCUAGUUGGUGGGGUAAAGGCUUACCAAGGCGACGAUCCGUAGCUGGUCUGAGAGGACGACCAGCCACACUGGGACUUAGACACGGCCCAGACUCCUACGGGAGGCAGCAGUGGGGAAUUUUGGACAAUGGGGGCAACCCUGAUCCAGCCAUGCCGCGUGCGGGAAGAAGGCCUUCGGGUUGUAAACCGCUUUUGUUCGGGAAGAAAUCCUCUGGGCUAAUACCCCGGGGGGAUGACGGUACCGGAAGAAUAAGCACCGGCUAACUACGUG